AGCGGAGGAAAAGAAACCAACAGGGAUUGCCUCAGUAACGGCGAGUGAAGCGGCAAGAGCUCAAAUUUGAAAUCUGGCCCCUUCGGGGUCCGAGUUGUAAUUUGUAGAGGAUGCUUCGGGUGCGGCCCCCGUCUAAGUGCUCUGGAACGGGCCAUCGGAGAGGGUGAGAAUCCCGUCUGGGACGGGGUGUCCGCGUCCAUGUGAAGCUCCUUCGACGAGUCGAGUUGUUUGGGAAUGCAGCUCUAAAUGGGUGGUAAAUUUCAUCUAAAGCUAAAUACUGGCCGGAGACCGAUAGCGCACAAGUAGAGUGAUCGAAAGAUGAAAAGCACUUUGAAAAGAGAGUUAAACAGCACGUGAAAUUGUUGAAAGGGAAGCGCUUGCGACCAGACUCGCUUCCGGGGUUCAGCCGGCUUUCGGGCCGGUGUACUUCCCCGGGGGCGGGCCAGCGUCGGUUUGGGCGGCCGGUCAAAGGCCCCUGGAAUGUAACGCCCCUCGGGGCGCCUUAUAGCCAGGGGUGUCAUGCGGCCAGCCUGGACCGAGGAACGCGCUUCGGCACGGACGCUGGCAUAAUGGUCGUAAACGACCCGUCUUGAAACACGGACCAAGGAGUCUAACAUCUACGCGAGUGUUCGGGUGUCAAACCCGUGCGCGCAGUGAAAGCGAACGGAGGUGGGAGCCCCCUCGAGGGGCGCACCAUCGACCGAUCCUGAUGUCUUCGGAUGGAUUUGAGUAAGAGCGUAGCUGUGGGGACCCGAAAGAUGGUGAACUAUGCCUGAAUAGGGCGAAGCCAGAGGAAACUCUGGUGGAGGCUCGCAGCGGUUCUGACGUGCAAAUCGAUCGUCAAAUUUGGGUAUAGGGGCGAAAGACUAAUCGAACCAUCUCUUGGC
rnacentral:rRNA from 1 species